rnacentral:rRNA from 1 species
AAUAGAUACCCCGGUAGUCCACGCCGUAAACGAUGAAUGCUAGGUGUUAGGGGUUUCGAUACCCUUGGUGCCGAAGUUAACACAUUAAGCAUCCCGCCUGGGGAGUACGGCCGCAAGGCUGAAACUCAAAGGAAUUGACGGGGACCCGCACAAGCAGUGGAGUAUGUGGUUUAAUUCGAAGCAACGCGAAGAACCUUACCAGGUCUUGACAUCCCCCUGACCGGUACAGAGAUGUACCUUUCCUUCGGGACAGGGGAGACAGGUGGUGCAUGGUUGUCGUCAGCUCGUGUCGUGAGAUGUUGGGUUAAGUCCCGCAACGAGCGCAACCCUUGACUUUAGUUGCCAGCAAGUAAGGUUGGGCACUCUAGAGUGACUGCCGGUGACAAACCGGAGGAAGGUGGGGAUGACGUCAAAUCAUCAUGCCCCUUAUGACCUGGGCUACACACGUACUACAAUGGCCGGUACAACGGGAAGCGAAGCCGCGAGGUGGAGCGAAUCCUAGAAAAGCCGGUCUCAGUUCGGAUUGCAGGCUGCAACUCG